rnacentral:tRNA from 1 species
UCCCAGCUGGCUCAGUGAUAAAAGAACUUGCCUGCCAAUGCAGGAGACACAGAAGACUCAGGUUCAAUUCCUGAGUUAGGAA